GUUUCCGUAGGUGAACCUGCGGAAGGAUCAUUACUGAGAGAGGGGCUUCGCGCUCCCGGGGGUUUCGGCCUCUAGCUCUUCACCCAUUGUCUACAUACCUUUGUUGCUUUGGCGGGCCUCGCUCGGGCACCGUCCCGUGUCGACUGACUGGUCGGCGAGCGCCCGUCAGAGGCCAAUCAAAUUCUAUUUAUCAGUGAUGUCCGAGCAAAAACACAAUAAUCAAAACUUUCAACAACGGAUCUCUUGGUUCCAGCAUCGAUGAAGAACGCAGCGAAAUGCGAUAACUAAUGUGAAUUGCAGAAUUCAGUGAAUCAUCGAGUCUUUGAACGCACAUUGCGCCCCUCGGUAUUCCGGGGGGCAUGCCUGUUCGAGCGUCAUUACACCCCUCAAGCGUAGCUUGGUAUUGGGCUUCGCCCCCGCGGCGUGCCCGAAAAGCAGUGGCGGUCCGGUGCGACUUUAAGCGUAGUAAAUUUUAUCCCGCUUUGAAAGUUCGCCCCGUGGCUGGCCAGACAACCCCAUACUUCAAUAAUUGACCUCGGAUCAGGUAGGGAUACCCGCUGAACUUAAGC
rnacentral:rRNA from 1 species